rnacentral:lncRNA from 1 species
CUCUUAUCCAACGGUUUCCACCAAUAAGUUUCUCUUGUCAUCUUUUCCUGUCCAAAAGGUUUCCCUGAACCUCUCGUCCCACCAUAUGUUUGCGUAGCAGGAAGUGCCUCAGCUAAGCCCGUCUGUUACCAGUUGAGUUAGGAGUGAACCCGCGUGGUGGUUUGACAGGUGUCUCACUAGGAUCUUGGCUCAACUUGUUAUUGUCAUUACCUCAGAUCACAGAGAGAUCUUUUUAUUUAUUUCCCCUUUAUUUAACCAGGUAGGCAAGUUGAGAACAAGUCCUUUAUUUAACCAGGUAGGCCAGUUGAGAACAAGUCCUUUAUUUAACCAGGUAGGCAAGUUGAGAACAAGUUCUCAUUUACAACUGCGACCUGGCCAAGAUAAAGCAAAGCAGUUCGACAACAUACAACAACAGAGUAAAACAAAACAUAGUCAAUAAUACAGUAGAAAAAUAAGUCUAUAUACAAUGUGAGCAAAUGAGGUGAGAUAAGGGAGGUAAAGGCAAUAAAUAGGCCAUGGUGGCAAAGUAAAUACAAUAUAGCAAGUAAAACACUGGAAUGGUAGAUUUAUAAUUUGAAGAAAGUUCAAAGUUAAAAUAUAACUAAUAUGGUGCAAGUAACAAAAUAAUAAAUACAGUAGGGGAAGAGGUAGUUGUUUGGCCUAAAUUAUAGAUGGGCUAUGUACAGGUGCAGUGAUCUGGGAGCUGCUCUGACAGCUGGUGCUUAAAGCUAGUGAGGGAGAUAUGAGUCUCCAGCUUCAGAGAUUUUUGUAGUUCGUUCCAGUCAUUGGCAGCAGAGAACUGGAAGGAGAGACGACCAAAGGAGGAGUUGGCUUUAGGGGUGACCAGAGAGAUAUACCUGCUGGAGCGCGUGCUACAGGUGGGUGCUGCUAUGGUGACCAGUGAGCUGAGAUAAGGCCGGACUUUACCUAGCAGGGUCUUGUAGAUGACCUGGAGCCAGUGGGUUUGGCGACGAGUAUGAAGCGAAGGCCAGCCAACGAGAGCGUACAGGUCGCAGUGGUGGGUAGUAAAUGGGGCUUUGGUGACAAAACGGAUGGCACUGUGAUAGACUGCAUCCAGUUUAUUAAGUAGGGUAUUGGAAGCUAUUUUGUAAAUGACAUCGCCGAAGUCGAGGAUCGGUAGGAUGGUCAGUUUUACGAGGGUAUGUUUGGCAGCAGGAAUGAAGGAGGCUUUGUUGCAAAAUAGGAAGCCGAUUCUAGAUUUAAUUUUGGAUUGGAGAUGUUUAAUAUGAGUCUGGAAGGAGAGUUUACAGUCUAACCAGACACCUAGGUAUUUGUAGUUGUCCACAAAUUCUAAGUUAGAACCAUCCAGAGAAGUGAUGCUGGACAGGCGGGCAGGUGCAGGCAGCGAUCGGUUGAAGAGCAUGCAUUUAGUUUUACUUGUAUUUAAGAGUAGUUGGAGGCCAUGGAAGGAGAGUUGAAUGGCAUUGAAGCUCGUCUGGAGGGUUGUUAACACAGUGUCCAAAGAAGGGCCAGAAGUAUACAGAAUGGUGUCGUCUGCGUAGAGGUGGAUCAGAGAUUCACCAGCAGCGAGAGCGAGAUCGUAACGAUAAGAGGAGAGAUUCGGUAUCCUUUGAAAAUAGAUUGAAAAAAUGGUUGUUUACUUUAAAAAAAAAAGAUUUUUAAGAUAUUCGUUGGCUCGUUAUAUCAUAUAAAUAUUAUUUUUUUAUGUGACGCAAAGAGGAAGAGAUGUUUCUCAGGUAAGAUAUGAUGACUGACUGACGUGUUCUGGAAUGUUUAUUAUGAUUCUAUGAAUCAUUCUAGAAGCUUUUAUCCAUCUGAUUCCGGAGACAGAAGACUGGCUUGAUUCCAGAGGAUCAUUCCAGAAGCUUUACUUUGAAACAUUUACCUGCUGGCCACCAUUCCAGCCUGUCAACCCAGUUGUCUAACCCCUCCUAUCUAGUUUAGUGAACUCCCUUCACUACAUGGCUCUGAUCUGUCUCUGCUUGGAGACGACAGUGGAUCUGUCUCUGAUUGGAGACGACAGUGGAUCUGUCUCUGCUUGGAGACGACAGUGGAUCUGUCUCUGAUUGGAGACGACAGUGGAUCUGUCUCUGAUUGGAGACGACAGUGGAUCUGUCUCUGAUUGGAGACGACAGUGGAUCUGUCUCUGAUUGGAGACGACAGUGGAUCUGUCUCUGAUUGGAGACGACAGUGGAUCUGUCUCUGAUUGGAGACGACAGUGGAUCUGUCUCUGAUUGGAGACGACAGUGGAUCUGUCUCUGGAUUGGAGACGACAGUGGAUCUGUCUCUGAUUGGAGACGAUCUGUCUCUGAUUGGAGACGACAGUGGAUCUGUCUCUGAUUGGAGACGACAGUGGAUCUGUCUCUGAUUGGAGACGACAGUGGAUCUGUCUCUGAUUGGAGACGACAGUGGGUAGUGGGUAGUGUCCCGUUGGGUUCUGGUCAGAGGUAGUGUCCCCGUUGGGUUCUGGUCAGAGGUAGUGUCCCGUUGGGUUCUGGUCAGAGGUAGUGUCCCGUUGGGUUCUGGUCAGAGGUAGUGUCCCCGUUGGGUUCUGGUCAG